rnacentral:rRNA from 2 species
UGGGGAAUAUUGCACAAUGGAGGGAACUCUGAUGCAGCGACGCCGCGUGAACGAAGAAGGCUUUCGAGUCGUACAGUUCUUUUAUAUGGGAAGAUAAUGACGGUACCAUAAGAAAAAGCCCCGGCUAACUACGUGCCAGCAGCCGCGGUAAUACGUAGGGGGCUAGCGUUGUCCGGAAUCACUGGGCGUAAAGGGUUCGCAGGCGGAAAUGCAAGUCAGGUGUAAAAGGCAGUAGCUUAACUACUGUAAGCAUUUGAAACUGCAUAUCUUGAGAAGAGUAGAGGUAAGUGGAAUUUUUAGUGUAGCGGUGAAAUGCGUAGAUAUUAAAAAGAAUACCGGUGGCGAAGGCGACUUACUGGGCUCAUUCUGACGCUGAGGAACGAAAGCGUGGGUAGCAAACAGG